rnacentral:rRNA from 1 species
GCAGUAACCUGACUGUGAUAAUGUAGCAUAAUCACUCGCCAUUUAAUUGGUGGAUAGUAUGAAUGGUUUAACGAGUCUCACACUUUCUAAAGAAGAGGUAAUUUGAAAUUUAAAUAAUAGUUAAGAUGCUAUUUAAAAUUGUAAGACGAAAAGACCCUAUAGAGCUUGACUACAUCCCUCCUACCUAGUUAAUAGGAGGUAGGUAGUUUAGUUGGGGCGACUGCCUUUUAAAAAAAACAAAGGUAAACAAAAUUAAUAAUAAUUUACUGUAAAAUCAAUAAGUUUAACAGUUACUAAUGUAGGUUAUAAUGACCCGUUAGAAUUAAGCAAAAAUAAUAACGAUCAAUAAAUAAAAGCUACCUUAGGGAUAACAGGAUAAUUUUGUUAUAGAGACCUUAU